ACAAGGGACUCGUAGCUGGCGAGAGUCAGGGCGGUUGUCAGACGCCUCUCAUGUUACCUCACGGAUGCCUCACUGCUGUAGGAAACCGCCGGCCCUCAGCCGGAAGCAAAGCCACGCGUGAACCCCUGAAGACCUGAGGGGUGUUUGAUAGGCACAAGCGUUCAGGCUGGUAUCUGUAUUCUCUAUUCAAGAUAAUCCACGCUGUUGGGAAGAAGAGCAGUAGUAAUGGAAAUCGCAGUGAAAAAACCUUUCUGAACCCCAAUUCCACCUGAGAAGGAUGCUCAGCAAAUCAAUGAGAUGCACCAAAACCUGCAGCGCCUGUAGCCAGCAUCAGUCACCAGAAAGGGCCCAGUUCUUCUCCACGACAACGCCUGACUGCACAUGGCACAACCAGCGCAUCAGAAGUGGAAUGAACCAGGCUACAAAGUUUUGCCUCCGUAUUCAGCUGACCUCUCACCAGCCGCUUGCCACUUCUUCAAGCAUCUUGACAUUGUUCUGCAGGGAGAACACUUCCACAACCAGCAGGAUGCACAAAAUGCUUUCCAAGGGUUCAUCAAAUCUCAAAGCAUGGAUUUUUUACGCUACAGGAAUCAAACUUAUU
rnacentral:lncRNA from 1 species